GCCCCCCAAUCUGCAUCGCAAUAAGCUGUCAGAUUACCAUCACCAGUUGAGGGGAGCAACAUCCCUUGUCCUGGUGCUUUUUUGAUGUACUUUACCACUCUCAUUGCUGCCUCCGAAUGGAAUUAUUUUGGAGAGUACAUAAAUUGGCUAAGUGUCUGCACAAUAAAGGAUAUGUCCGAUCUAGUCAUUGUGAGGUAUAACAACCUUCUAACUAGCCUUUGGUACUUACCAAAAUCUUUUAAGACUUCAUCCUGACAUCCUUUUUCUUGUGCAGAUAUCAGCUUAUCAAAGUCUGUUGAGG
rnacentral:lncRNA from 1 species